AUCAAAACUGGAGUAGAGUAUGACUACAGUAACUUCUACAAUGGAGACAAGAAAAAGCACGAAGCAUUCCACGACGUUCUGAAUAAGAACUGGGUGACAGUAACGAGCGUGUUCGGAGAUAAAUUUUAUUACGCAAUUUUAGAUACUAUAUAUGAGGCAAUAAAAACGUUUACACGUUCUCACGAUUUGGAAGAUUUGUUGUCGUUUCCAUAAGUAUUCGUUUACGAAAUAAAUCGACAAAAAACUUCUAUUUUGUAACCAAUGUUCUAUGUGGUUAUGAUAUGAAAAUUCAACUUUAAAGUGUAACUUUAUUUGAAAUUGUGACUUUGUAUAUGUACGCAACUACCACUGUUCAUAAAUAUUUCCCUUCAUCAACAAUAUCUGCUUGUAAAAAAAUCUGUUAUUAUAUUAAUUUCUGUUAUUUCAUAACUAUCAUAAUUAUUAUUAUAAUCAUCAUUAAAUGUUAAAUAACUUUGCGUUGGUGAUUAAUUGGUGAUAAAUCGUUUUAACUUAUAAAAUGCAAGGAAAUAAAGUUAUCCUAAUUAAAA